ACAGUACCCCAUUCUGUAUUUGGUUCAAGCUCCAGCAAACUGCUCACAUGCCUCGUAUGUUCUGCAAGAUUCGCACACUGGGACGGCUCAUGUGGUGUCAUGAAUUGUGAACAUUACUUACUAUGCAGUCAUUCUCCGAAGGUGGGGAAAACACCAAAACAAACAACAGAAUGCCUGGCAAGCAGCAGUGAUGAGGAUAAAGAUAGACUGUAAGGCCUGUUCCUACCUCUGGUGAUCAGGGUGGGAGGAAGGAAGAAAACGGGGGUGCAUCUGCCUGAGGCCUGUACCAGAGGAAGAUGCUCAGGAGGCCCAGUAGACCCAGGACUCUCUCCCACCUGUGGCCCUGUGGCAAGACCAAAGGGGAGCUCUUUGGAACUGUGGCCCCUUUGUGUCUUCCAAAUCAUAUUAAUUCCAAAUUAAAAUGAAGGACACUAUAUGCAUCUUACAACCAAGUUCUAGAAUCAGGCUGGGUACAGUGGUUCGUGCCUGUAAUCCUAGAAUUUUGGGAGGCUGAGGCAGGAGAAUCUCACUUGAGCCCAGAAGUUGAAAGUUGCAAUGAGCUGUGAUCACACCACUGCACUCCAGCUUAGGUGACAGAGCAGAUCUUCUC